AUUGAACGCUGGCGGCAGGCCUAACACAUGCAAGUCGAACGAGUGGCGGACGGGUGAGUAAUGUCUGGGAAACUGCCUGAUGGAGGGGGUUAACUACUGGAAACGGUAGCUAAUACCGCAUACCAUCGGAUGUUCCCAGCUGGGAUUAGCUAGUAGGUGGGGUAAAGGCUCACCUAGGCGACGAUCCCUAGCUGGUCUGAGAGGGUGACCGGCCACACUGGAACUGAGACACGGUCCAGACUCCUACGGGAGGCAGCAGUGGGGAAUAUUGCACAAUGGGCGAAAGCCUGAUACAGCAAUGCCGCGUGUGUGAAGAAGGCCUUCGGGUUGUAAAGUACUGUCAGCAGGGAGGCGUUACCCGAAGAGGAAGCAACGGCUAACUCCGUGCCAGCAGCCGCGGUAAUAC
rnacentral:rRNA from 1 species